GUUUAGUUCAAGGAUGCCUCAUGGCCUGGACGACCAGAGCAGUACAGGUGCAGGUAACUGGAUUCGCCGCCCAGCAGGUGAGGGCCUCUCUGGCCACCCGUGCUUUUGCAAAUCAGCGGUACAGCGCUUCGCUGGCGACAGGGCCGUUCGACAGACAGUUUCCGUCUUUUUUUUUUUCACGGCUGACGUCCUCUUCUGGACUGCCUUGCCUCCGUUGUCCGCUAGCGGGCCGACGUAGCGCCGGCUAGCUGCAGUGCCGAUUUGUUGGCUGCCGACGCUGGGCCGCUGGUAGGCCGCUAGCCUGGGCGGCUCCUGCCGUGUCCGUUCCUCCUGCUUAAUUUUUAAGCGGCCUCAUUCGAGAGGGUGUUUCCCUCCUCGCUCGCCAACUCUCCUCGGGAGUGUGCCUGGUGUCCCUCUCCAAUCUUCAGAGGGGAGUGAAGCUCUUUCUCUUUCUUCCUCUCUCUCUCUGUCUGUCUCUCGCUGUCUCUCUCUCUCUCUCUGAAAUCCUUUUAAUUCAGAGGAUUAUGAAAGUAUCACUUGAUAACUCUGAGAUGGAACCAGAGAAAAAGAGGGAGUGUGAGAGUGAGAGAGAGGGAGGGAGAGGAAGAGAAAGAGGGAGGAAGAGGGAGAGAGAAAGGGAGGGAGAGAGUGACUGAGAGAGGUGACUCAGUACUAUGUCAUUCAUAGUGCUUGAGUCAAUCAUCACCUGUUUUUUUCUUUUAAGUCUGAUGAGGGAGUAAUUAAACUGAGACUAUAAAUA